rnacentral:rRNA from 1 species
UAACAACUUGUUCGCAUGAACACGUUAAAAGAUGCUUUCCGCUUCAAUUUGGAGGACCUGGGGGCAUUAGCUUGUGGUGGGGUAAGGCCUACCAAGGCGAUGAGCAUAGCCGAGUUGAAGACUGAUCGGCCCCAAUGGGACUGAGACCCGGCCCAUAUUCCUACGGGAGGCAGCAGUAGGGAAUCUUCCACAAUGGGCGCAAGCCUGAUGGAGCAACACCGCGUGAGUGAAGAAGGGUUUCGGCUCGUAAAGCUCUGUUGUUAAAGAAGAACACGUAUGAGAGUAACUGUUCAUACGUUGACGGUAUUUAACCAGAAAGUCACGGCUAACUACGUGCCAGCAGCCGCGGUAAUACGUAGGUGGCAAGCGUUAUCCGGAUUUAUUGGGCGUAAAGAGAGUGCAGGCGGUUUUCUAAGUCUGAUGUGAAAGCCUUCGGCUUAACCGGAGAAGUGCAUCGGAAACUGGAUAACUUGAGUGCAGAAGAGGGUAGUGGAACUCCAUGUGUAGCGGUGGAAUGCGUAGAUAUAUGGAAGAACACCAGUGGCGAAGGCGGCUACCUGGUCUGCAACUGACGCUGAGACUCGAAAGCAUGGGUAGCGAACAGGAUUAGAUACCCUGGUAGUCCAUGCCGUAAACGAUGAGUGCUAGGUGUUGGAGGGUUUCCGCCCUUCAGUGCCGGAGCUAACGCAUUAAGCACUCCGCCUGGGGAGUACGACCGCAAGGUUGAAACUCAAAGGAAUUGACGGGGGCCCGCACAAGCGGUGGAGCAUGUGGUUUAAUUCGAAGCUACGCGAAGAACCUUACCAGGUCUUGACAUCUUGCGCCAACCCUAGAGAUAGGGCGUUUCCUUCGGGAACGCAAUGACAGGUGGUGCAUGGUCGUCGUCAGCUCGUGUCGUGAGAUGUUGGGUUAAGUCCCGCAACGAGCGCAACCCUUGUUACUAGUUGCCAGCAUUAAGUUGGGCACUCUAGUGAGACUGCCGGUGACAAACCGGAGGAAGGUGGGGACGACGUCAGAUCAUCAUGCCCCUUAUGACCUGGGCUAC